GCGCCCGUAGCUCAGCUGGAUAGAGCGUCAGACUCCGACUCUGAAGGCCAUGCGUUCGAACCGCACCGGGCGUACCA
rnacentral:tRNA from 2 species